ensembl:lncRNA
UCUGUCUAGUGCUUCAAGAUCUCUGUUUGAUUAUGUUGCUCAUCUUUUUUGGUGGUAAGUGUUUAAUAUUCUCUUCUUUAAUAUCCUCCUUUGAUUAUUAAGAGAAAAUAUCGAAUUCUAAAUAUUUUAUGAGGCCAAGUAAACGUUUGUUUCUCUACAAAGUUUUGUGUAAGUGUUAGUACUUCUACAGUUAAUGAUGGUUUUUAACUUGUUAAUGUUUAUUGAAAGCUGACUGCCACAAACUGCACCAAGAUCAACUUUGCAAGUCUACUUGCCCUGGUAAGAGUACAUACAUGUUAAUAAAUGUGGUUUUGCUAUUCAUCCAUACAUAUUUAUAUGGAAAUUCCACGCAAACAUGAUUAUCUAAAUAACUACCUAAAUGUCUAUGUAAACAUUACAUAAAACAUUAUUUACAUAAAAGUCCCCAGUGGAGUUUUUGUCCGAUUUAGCUCACUUCUGGGUCAAGACAUAUGGAAAUAUAUCUAAUGUAUGUUUACAGAUGUGCAAAAAGGGCAAAGGCACACAUAUAGAUACAGUAUAACCAUAGCAAAUGCCUGGAAAGGUCCUUCGUCAUGAGGCAGUCAGUUAGCUCUGGACUGUGUUGUUGACAUUGAUGUUCAACCAGGACGUCCAGAAAUUAUAUUAAAGGGCAGAACACCGGUUACUUGACCAGUAUUGUGUUUAAGGCUGAAGGCCAAAACUCAGGCAGACACGGUGGACCAUCGGUUCAAGAGGUUUCCAAUACAGUGAGGAGGCUGUGUGCUCAUCUUGCAGAUCAACAACAGGAACAGGGUCCAUGUACGAAAUCUCUGAAGUCCAGCAGUUCAUCCUUGUUCUGAAGCAGAGUCUUGAGGCAGGAUAUGAAGUGGAUGAUCAAUUGCAGAUCACAGAGCUGCUGCAUGUGUUGAAAGCAGUGGAAAAUGCAGGAGCGGCUGUGUCAGAUCUCAUCCUCACGCUGAGCCGCUGUGUGCAGAAUCAGUCUGUGCUGCUGGAGCUCGCUGUACGAGCAUUCAGGAGAAUCCCAUGCCUUCAUGACGUCAGUAUCAUUGAAGAAUUUAAGAUAUAUAUAUAUAUAUAUAUAUAUUUAUAUAUAUAUAUAUAUAUNUGUACAGUUUUGAUCCUGUUUCAUGUCAGAUGAUUGUGUUAGAUUACAUGUGUUAGUAUCUGUUGUUUCUUUUUCUUCACUUGUGUUUUUUUGGAAAUUCUGUACAGAAGAUGUGUACUAGCGCCCUCUACCAUAUAACAAUGAGAACACAGAUUCUAGGAGCACAAGUAUAGCUCAAAUAUAUUUAGACUUUUUGUAAGUAUAAGUCAAGUAUACUUAAAUGUCAUUUUAAGUAUAUUUCUGAGGAGUACAUAAAGUCCAUUUCUGAGAAGAACAUAAGAAGUAAACUAAAAGCAUACUUUCCUAUUUUUAGUUUAAAAGAAGUAUACUAAUAGCACACUUGAAUAAACUUCUUUUUUCGUAAGGGUAGUACUGGC